rnacentral:rRNA from 1 species
AACGAACGCUGGCGGCAUGCCUAACACAUGCAAGUCGAACGGGAUCCUGGCUUCGGCCAGGUGAGAGUGGCGGACGGGUGAGUAACGCGUGGGAACCUGCCCAUUGGUCUGGGAUAACUGCGGGAAACUGCAGCUAAUACCGGAUGUACCCGAGAGGGGAAAGAUUUAUCGCCGAUGGAGGGGCCCGCGUCAGAUUAGGUAGUUGGUGAGGUAACGGCUCACCAAGCCUACGAUCUGUAGCUGGUCUGAGAGGAUGAUCAGCCACACUGGGACUGAGAUACGGCCCAGACUCCUACGGGAGGCAGCAGUGGGGGAAUAUUGGACAAUGGGGGGCAACCCUGAUCCAGCAAUGCCGCGUGAGUGAUGAAGGCCUUAGGGUUGUAAAGCUCUUUUACCAGGGACGAUGAUGACGGUACCUGGAGAAUAAGCCCCGGCUAACUUCGUGCCAGCAGCCGCGGUAAU